rnacentral:misc_RNA from 1 species
CUGAGUGAGGGCCCUCCGGGUCCAAUCUCCCACCCGUGUUUAUUCGUACCUUGUUGCUUCGGCAGGCCCGCCUCACGGCCGCCGGGGGGCUUCUGCCCCCGGGCCCGCGCCUGCCGGAGACAAUUCUGAACGCUGUCUGAAGAAUGCAGUCUGAGCGAUUAGCAAAAUUAGUUA